UUUGAUGUGACUGAACUCGAAAUUUAAUGUUCGAGCUGCCUACGUACCCUUCCAAGGAAAAGAUCAAGUCAAAACGUAGUUCAAAUGCAUUUUUUUUUUUUGAUGAUUUUGCCGUACACAAUUUAUGCUCUUGCGGGCCAGGAGCUUUGGCUGUCGCCUUUUAGGGGUAGUAGCGCUUCAAGAAUCUUCCAUUGAUAGGACCAAUCUUCAAGCCGUCUUCUGCCAUGAUUAAGUAGGCGCCG
rnacentral:lncRNA from 1 species